CCAGACUCCUACGGGAGGCAGCAGUGGGGAAUAUUGGGCAAUGGACGCAAGCCUGACCCAGCAACGCCGCGUGAAGGAAGAAGGCUUUCGGGUUGUAAACUUCUUUUAUGAGGGACGAAACAAAUGACGGUACCUCAUGAAUAAGCCACGGCUAACUACGUGCCAGCAGCCGCGGUAAUACGUAGGUGGCAAGCGUUAUCCGGAUUUACUGGGUGUAAAGGGCGUGUAGGCGGGACUGCAAGUCAGAUGUGAAAACCACGGGCUCAACCUGUGGCCUGCAUUUGAAACUGUUUUUCUUGAGUACUGGAGAGGCAGACGGAAUUCCUAGUGUAGCGGUGAAAUGCGUAGAUAUUAGGAGGAACACCAGUGGCGAAGGCGGUCUGCUGGACAGCAACUGACGCUGAGGCGCGAAAGCGUGGGGAGCAAACAGGAUUAGAUACCCUGGUA
rnacentral:rRNA from 1 species